CUAGCCGUGUGCAGCAGCUCACACACCAACCGCGUGCAGCAGAGUACCUGGGGGCAAGCUCAGCAGAGACUCGACAAAGAGUCUAAACAAUGACAACGGAAAACGUGUGACUCUAGCCAAGGUUAUCACGCCAGUCUAAACAAGAAUUUUCCCGGGUGAUUUCAUGUUUACGGAAUAACUCCAGUUCAACAGUGAUUUCAGGCUACUCUCAGAAAGGACAAGAACUGGUCCCACGAGGAACAGGGACCUUCAAGGACUAGAUCAGGACAAAUGCCUGAAAUAAUUAAGCGUAAUCCUGCCGUUAUUCAGAUGAAAGCACAAACGUUCUGAGAGACAGAUCUCAUCUCUCAGCGCCGAGGGCUGUGUGGAGAAAAUGGAAAUAUUCUGUGGCUUGGGACUUGUGUCUAUGAAGUGCACGCUGUUGACAAUGGUUUUCUUAUGACCUGGAGAAAUAAACUUGCAAAAGCAGUGGCCGGCUUUGCUUGCUAAGUGCAAGGCUUGAAGCCAGAAGCGCCAGCGGGGCCUCCUACGCUAUCUGACAUUGCAGCUCUCACAGACUCGCUUCUCAGGCUCCUUCCCAGGAGAGCUGUAAGCUCUGAUAAGGUAGCCUGGCUUUGGGGUGGUGAAGUUGGGAGGCUCAGUUUCUCACUGUCUGAGUUUCUCGAAGCCGUUUCCCGAUGGUGUAUGCUUUUUGCAUUAAUGCAAGAUCUUCACAGACGAAGUCCCUGACUGAGCAUUUUGAAGGCGGUUUUGGCCAUGGCUUAAGGCAUGAUGCUGCUAAGAUGGAGUUCAUCAGUGUUCAGCUUGCUGGGGCCCUUCUGAGAGUUGUGUGCUGUUAUCUCAGGGAGACCAGAAGAGAGUGUCAGAUCCCCUGAACUGAAGUUACAGACAGUUGUGAGCCAUUGCAUGGGUGUGGCAAUCUAAUCCAGGCCUGGAACAACAGCCUUGACUGCUGAGCCGUCUCUCCAGCCCCCGCCACUCUGUCUUACAAGAGUGAGGACAACACCUGUAAUAACAGCACUCAGGACGCAGAGGCUGAGGCAGGAGGAUGGUCAUGCCUGGAUAAGUUGAAUUUUUGGACUUUGUCUAAAAAUAAGGCAAAGCAGGAAGACGAUAGCUGUCUUGGUCCCGUAAAGACUGACCCCUAUCUUCGAGUACAGCUGGCUCUUUAGAGGUGACCUGGUGGUGGGCAAAGAGGAAAUCAAGCUCUUGGUGGCCCGGUAUCGGGCCAUGCUGAAAACAACACUAUGGCUGGGCUUCUCGGUUACCUACAUCAGCGAACCGUGGUCUGCUGCUAUUGUUGCCAGAAAACAACACAGGACAUCCAGUCAGACUUGAAACUCAAAUAAACAGUAACUUUUUUUCUUAAUCCUAAGUAUGUUCCAGAAAUUGCAUGAGGACACGUACUGCAAGCUUUGCUGUGGCUUAUCUGAAGUCGAAACGCAGCUGGGUGGCUGUGUUUUUAUUUGAUAAAUCUGGCAACCCAGCUUGUAACCAAAAUGUGUAGGCAUUGGUGGUAAAACACAGUGUUCACGAGGGAAUCAGAAAAGCGUCUGUCGUUUGGGUGGGUGGAAGGCAUGGGUCCUUGGCUAGAUGUUACAGAAUAACAAAGCUUGGGGGUGUUGCUCCCAGCAUUGUUUCCAGAAUAGGGCAUCAUAGUACUGAGCAGAUGGGGGUAGGAAUACAGGGGUCUGCACUGAGCCACGGACUGGCAGCUUAGACACAUCCAGGAAUAUAAAAGUCAGAGUUGAAGUUAAUCUUAUUUCUUUGUGAUAAGGAUGUGUGUGUGUGUGUGCGCGUGUGUGCGCCAUGGUACAGUGUUUGGGUUAGGGAACAACUUUGGUGAGUUGAUUGAUUCUCUACUUUUACUGUGUGGGUGUCAAAGAUUAAAGUCAAAUUGUCUGGCUUGGUGGCAAACAAGUUUACACACUGAGCCAAGUUGCUGGCCCUCAAGUUGACGUCCAAAUCGUAUUUAAGUAUUUUCUCCAAUGACUGACCCAAGGAAGGAGGAAAAGAGUGGGAGCCAUGUGGGUGGUGGUCUAUUCUGCCAGAGAAGGGAGACCCUGGCAACGAUUUGAGGGGAGGUGUUAAUGACUUGGCCCCUCCCAGGUGUGUGUCUCCCUUCCGAGUGUGACUGGUCACUGAGAUCAUAAAAUGUUCAGCUGUGCUUACCACCAGACGGAUGCACACCCUUCAAAUAUGAACCCUGGCUUUCUGUCUGAGUAACUUCUUUCUGAAAAACUGACUUUACCCAUGGCUCUGACGU